rnacentral:snRNA from 1 species
ACUCGUGCCUGGCAGGGAGACACCAUGGUCAUGAAGGUGGUUUUCCCACAGGAAGCCUUAUGGACUGCACCUGAGUGUGCUGACCCCCGUGAUUUCCCCGAAUGUGAGGGAUUUGUGGCAGUGAGGGACUGAGUUCAUGCUGUUCCCUG